rnacentral:rRNA from 1 species
UCCGAAGGGGGCUAGCGUUGUUCGGCUUUACUGGGCGUAAAGCGCACGUAGGCGGAUUGUUAAGUCAGGGGUGAAAUCCCGGAGCUCAACUCCGGAACUGCCUUUGAUACUGGCAAUCUUGAGGCUGGAAGAGGUUAGUGGAAUUCCCAGUGUAGAGGUGAAAUUCGUAGAUAUUGGGAAGAACACCAGUGGCGAAGGCGGCUAACUGGUCCAGAUCUGACGCUGAGGUGCGAAAGCGUGGGGAGCAAACAGG